AUCUUUUGCUACUUGUGCCAAGACAUAUAAAAAUAUUAGUAGGAUAAAAAGGGAAACACUUGUGUAAAUUAUGGGAAGAAUGAGAAUUCUCAGGAGAGUUCAAACCAGUCUUUAUACCCACAUUCUUGAAUAAGACCUCAUCCUCUCAUCCCUUCAUGCUCUUUUUGCCAGCAAAGAUUCUUUAGGGCAACUUGAGAAAGUGCUGAGAAACAUGCAAAGAGUUAAUUGAAUAUUGUUCAGUUGAGGUCAGACUAAAAGGAAAGGACACUGUCACCUCAUUGGAAAGAGAAAAUGAGUUCAUUACUCUUCACAGACUAUGUGUUUAGAAUAUUUGUAAGCAGCAAAGAUGAGCUUUUAGUUUCUAGAAGAAAGAUGCCUGUGGGUUGUUAACAUGUGCAUGUUACCCAUUGUUGGUGCCACAGGCUUUGAAUGUAGGGAGGUGAGCUAUAUGACAUCACUUGAAGUGUUUUGUGUCAGGUCGGAAGACAAGGCAGGAGUAUGUGUCAGGGUGAUCACCUGUUUACAUUGAAGGAACCAUCAGCUGUAGGUGAAGCUUUCAGAAGCUGUGGCACAUGCAGUGUGUACACAGGCAGGUGGCAUUAGCUUGCCAUGCAGUGUGUCCACAGGCAAUGGCUUUAGCCAGUGUCAGGCUGCUGCUGUUGAGGUGAAAGUUCACGUGACCUGUUUGUCAGUUUACUUGUAUCAAAGGUUGACUAAAGGGAUUGUUUUAAUUGUUAAGGCACAUUCAAAAGGAUUUUUUAUUUACAUCAUCAAAGAAAAUGACCUAUGCUGAUUUUCAUUUUAUAUCUAGAACUAAUUUUGCAUUCUCCAGGGAGAAUAACUAAAUUGCCACCCAAUUCUUAUCCUUGACCCAACCUAGAUAAUGGCAUCAGCAUUGUAGAUGUGCAGUUUAAACCACACAGAUUUGUGUUCCCGUUGCUUGCUGGGGACAAUCACUUAAAACUUCCAUUUAGUAAGCCGGUAACACUGGGCAGCUGCUUUGUGCUUUGUGGCAGUGUUAAAUGUUUUUCCCUUCUCCCAUGAAGAGAAAUAGUGCAGCUCAGCCUACAGUUUUACUGUUGUGACUAGAACCUUAGCUAUUCUUAGCUACCACAACAAAUGUGGUUAAUAAUAUAUCAAAUUUUCAGUUGGUCCCCAGACAGGCCAACUCAGUGGCACUGUCGAUGGUCCUGAAUCAUAACGUUACAUUGUGUUGUUUCCCAUAAGUGUGUGAUCUGGGUAAAUAGUUCAGGAAUACAGAACCACAGAAGAAGGUAGGAUGCAGUAGGUAGGAAAAGAGGUUGAGGGAAUAAGAGAGACAGACUGACAAAUGCUAAUGGAAAAGCGUGGCCUUACAAAGGUAGCAAGUUAGGAGAAGUUAGGCAUAACUGGGGAGAUGGGUGUUACUGGGUACUUCUUUGUGUUACUGUUCUUGAUGUUGUUUCCUUGCACAAGAUGGAGAGCGUUUUCCUUGGAAAGCCUUCGUGGGAGCAUCUGGCACGUUGACUGUCAGAGAGCACACAGUGCACAGUGACAUUCACUACACGCAGAACAUCCUUGAAUUUUUAUAGGUCUUUUUUUUUUAGCUUAAAGAAAGAUGAAGGAUUAAGCUGAACAGUGUUGGCACUUUAACCCCAGCCCUCCAGAGGCAGAGGCAGAGGCAGAGGCAGGUGGAUCUCUGUUAGAGGCCAGCCUGGUCUACAGAGCAAGUUUCAGGAUAGCCAGGGCUACACAGAGAAAUCCUGUCUCAGGUGGUAAAAAGGUGAGGAUAAAAUAUUGAAAAAGAUGAGCUUCAAAACUGCUUAGUAUUAGGCCAGCAAAUGGAAACUAUCUAGACUUACCAGUCACAGCAGAAUCAGUGGCAGGAAAAUGGGAAGGGAUCAGUGAUUUUCUGAUAGUUUCUGCCUUUCAGUCAAAGUCACUUGCUAUUAUCAGCUGGUAUAUGGAGUUCUGUUGAUUGCAAAUCUCCAAACACUUAUUUUUAUAGUUAAGUUGGGGCUUGUAUCUUUCUACCAUUGGUACGCGAUUCAUUAUGAACCUGGACACUUUGAACCGGGCCUUGGAAACUAAGCAUAAAGGAAAAACAAGAUAGUGAAGAUUUGUUUCUUAAUAUUUUUACUCACCAGUGAGGUCUGAUACAUUUCUUCACAUAAAUAUGUGUGAUUCAGUUGUCAAGACUGGGAAGAUAUUACAGUGAGUGAAAGACCUUGUCUCACAAUCAUGAAGCCUGAGUUGUAUCCCUAGGACUCUGGAAAAGCCAGACAUGGUAGUGCAUGUAUAUAAUAUAACCCCAGUGUUCCUCUAGAGAGAUGGAAGUUAGAGGUAGGAGAAUCCCUGAAGCCUGUGGUCCACCUAGCUUUGUGUAUGUAGUACAGAACAAGAGACUGACUAUCUUAGUGUAGAAGGUGAUGGCUAGGAUCUACUGUUAUCUUCUGACUCCCACACAUAUGCUAUGGUAUGCAUGUGCCUGGUGAACAUGCAUAUAUGUAUACAUACUAUACAAAUGCAAUUUGUUUUGUUUUGUGUUGUUUUGUUUUUUGGAGACAGGGUUUCUCUUUGUAGCCCUGGCUGUCCUGAAACUUGAUCUGUAGACCAGGCUAGCCUUCAACUCACAGAGAUCUACGUUCCUCUGCCUCCUGAGUGGUGGGAUUAAAGGUAUGCACCCCUAGCGCCUGGCUAUGCAAACAUUUUUUAAAAAAAAAAAAUAUAUGGUUGUUUCAAAUGGUGGAGAAUUGGACUAACAGCGUCUAGUAUUGGAAUAACUGCCAUGGAGUGUGAAGUUACUAAAUGUCUGAUUCUUAGUUUCCUGGCCUAUAAGAGGAAGAUGAUGAGUAAUCCAUUUUUCAAAAAAUAAAGCUGAAGGCUACUGUAAAGAAGGCUCAAUGGUCAAGAACUCUUAUUUGCUCUACCAGAGGACCUAAGUUCUGUUUCCAGCAUCUACUUAAAGCAGCUCACCUGUAAGUCCAGCUCCAUGGAGUCUAAUACCGUAUUCUGACCAUUGUAGGCCCUGCAUUUACCACCAUAUUUAUACAUAUUUACAGAAUUCAAAAAAAAAAAUCUGGUCAGCUGCUCUAAGAUCAGUACUUUGUAAUGAAAACGUUCCUGGGCUUUUAUCUAUAAAUUAUUCUUGAACAUUACCAUAAGAAGUAAGCGCACACCAUCUCCUAUUUGUCAUUAUUUCAUCAAAAGCCAAUGUAAACCAGGCCAACACUCCUGAUUGCUGAGCAGAGUGAGGUGCACUCUUCCUUCCACCACUCUUGCCCUUCAUCCCUGUCUGGAGCAGCAGCGCCUUGAUUUUGAAUAAUUCUGAAAAGAAGACUAGGGAUGUCCUGAGAACUAUAUUGAUAGCUGCGACCUGUGUCUCGGUUGCUUCUCUCUUGUUCAGUGCUGCUUCCUUUACUCUCAUAGGUGUUUGCUCCCUAAAAUAUUCCCCAGUCUGCUUCCUGGGGAAACCCAACCUAAAACUCCUAACUGACCUAAAACAGGCUGCUGGGGUCUAGCACUCUUCAGCUAGGACUUCACUUCUUCCCUCAUGGAGUAGGUCAGGGUUUGGAUCUGCUCCUUGCAGUGCUGUGCAGUCUCAGAGGUCUGCAUGCUUACUUUGUCAUCUUCUGUCUGUAGCUAAGAUUGGUUCUAGCAUCUUCAACUGUUGUCAUCACAGUAAGCAUCAAGGUCCCUGCUUACUGCAGUGUCAAAUGUUUCUGCCUCCAUGGCUGUCAUGGAACUCGUCAUCCACAACUACCACUGUUGUGGUCAUCCCUAAUACCGUUACUAUGAUUAAUGGUGGCUUCAACUUGUAUUAGUUUAUAGCACUGGUUUGGUCAACAUUUAUUUACUCUUACCUGGCUCUUAAUUCAGUAGUAACUCCUGUGAUGAUACGGGGGUCCAGUGGCUAAUGGACAAAGAGGACCUUGUAAGGUCUAGGGAGGUUCCUUCUUCACCAAGGCCAACCAAGUCAAUUCUAGGAUUAGAAAAGGUAAGAAUAAGAGUUGGGCGGUCUCAUGUUACCGCAGCAAGAACUAAAGCAUUUGUCGACUGAGUCGGAAGGAACAGAGCCUGCCUAAAUCUGCUGCAAAGACAGGAGCAAGAGAAAACCUUUACAUCAGCAGAAAAUAUAGAUGCUAAGGUGAAACAAAUGUGUGAAGUAUAUUAUUGUUUACUUGAAUAGAGUGGUAAGACCUGCUAACACUCAUGAUCCCAGCAGAUCUGCAGAAUUCUGAAUCCUAAGGAUUCUGCCGUAGCUUAGUAGUCCGAACUCAUUUAUAUUGCUGAAGAAGACAGGAGUGGUAACAGAUUUCUGAGUUACCAUUCAUUAUGAGGCGCAAGAAUUCAGUAUGAACACUGUCCUUGAAAAACCAACUAGAACAACUAACCACAAAUCCUGAUAAUAUUAGGAUUUACAGUUACUACUUGUUUUGCAAAAAUGUGUGUGUGUGUUUGAUUCUGUCAGUACUGUGAAAAACAUUACAGCUUUACUUUUAGAAUUAAAUAAAAUCAGGUCAGUAACAAGUGUUUGCCCAAGGUUAAGUAGCUCUAUUAACAUCUUUUUCAGGCAAGUUACCUACUGGGUAUUGAUUUUGUAUGUAUAAUGGAUGUAUGUUUUCCCCUCUUACGUUCAUUGUGCAUUCUAUUAGUGAUAGCACACCUAUUCACUGCCGCUGAACUGUGGAAAUGUGACUCCUAAAAAGUACACCAACCAGUUCUUACUGAGUACUCGUUACAGUUUCUGUAAAAUGCUACUAAAAAAAGUCUCUAAUAAAGUUUACCUUCUUCUUCCAGAUAUAAUUCCUUAGCAUAUAAUUCUUUUCUGGUUAAAAACAGUAUGGGCAGGUAGUGUGCUAUGAGUUACCGAAAGUGAGUUAUAAGAGUUCUGGGAAGGAAUGGUGUUAGUGGACGUGGAAAUUGAAUUAGGGCAUUUUUAAAAUGGUUCUUUCAAUUGAACCAUGGGCUUCCUAAAUGCAGGGCCAGUGCUGCACCUUUGGACUCUAUGCCCAACACUAAAUGAGCUAUUUUUAAAGAGCAAGGCUCAGGCAAUUCCACUGUUACUAGUUGUUUGUUUUUUAUGGGAACCUUAGUAUCCAGGAUAGUUUGGUACUUGAAAUUCCCCAGCCUCGGGUCUCUGAGUGAGGGAGAAUAGCUGUGUGUGCUACUAUAUAUGACUAGCCUGCUGUUUUGUUUGGAUUAUUAUUUAUAGCUGUUGGGUUUUAUGUAACUAUAUUUUUUUCAAGAACAACUCUUGUUUUGGCACUAAUUAAGUGUGAUAUUAAUUUUUUAAGGAAAAGUAAAAAAACAAAAAACACCAUGUUGGCUCAAUAGCAAAUGACAGUAGAACCAACAGGAAAGCUUGUUGGGUUCUCAGCUCAUGUGCUCCAUGACUUCUCACUGACCAUGCUGUGCUAGGGUGAGUGAAUCCGGACAGCACCGGUACCACACACUCUUCUGAUGUCCUCUUGGUGUGACAACACUGAUAAGAGUCUGAAAUCUUGUGCAGGUUUCUAAUGUACUGGGUAUUCCUUGCUGCGAAUAUAUAGCUGAGUAUGGAAUGUUUGUUUACAUGUAAGGAAGCUUAUAUUGCAGUUGUAGUAAUCAUGGAUACUGUUAACUUGGUGUUGGUUAGAGUAUGAAACAGGAAAAAAAAAAAGGAGUGUGAAACAGCUGAAAUUGCCCAGUGACACUGGUGUGUAACAGUAUAAUGGGAACUGGGCACUAUUCCUCUACUCUACAAGUCAGCCAAUUUACGUGGGUUUUUUUUUUGGGGGGGGGGUUGUUUGUUUGUUUUUUUCUGAGACAGUUUCUCUGUAUAACCCUGGCUGUCCUGGAACUCACUCUGUAGACCAGCUGGUCUCGAACUCAGAAAUCCACCUGCCUCUGCCUCCCGAGUGCUGGGAUUCAAGGCGUGCGCCUUUAAAACGCCCAGCCGUUUUAGUAUUUUUGCAGGAGAGUUAGAAAUCCCAAACUCAUUUCUGCUCAACACUAUUCCCAGCAACUUUUCUUCAAAAAAAGUCCAAACUGAAAACAACCUAAAUGUCAUCAUCAGGUGAGUGAACAAGAAAUGUAUGGUGUUCUCAUGGGGUAGAAUACUAUCCAGGAAUGAAAUAGAACCCUCUAGGUCACAUUAGAAAUAGAUGAAUCCAGCCGGGCAGUGGUGGCACACACCUUUAAUUCCAGCACUCGGGAGGCAGAGGCAGGGGGAUUUCUGAGUUCGAGGCCAGCCUGGUCUACAAAGUGAGUUCCAGGACAGCCAAGGCUACACAGAGAAACCCUGUCUGGAAAAAACAAAAACAAAAAAACAAAACAAAACAAAAAGAAAUAGAUGAAUCUCAACAAUAUUAUGGAAAGCAAAAUGAUGCCAUUUACAUAUUACCUAUGAGGUAGACGAAAUUGUUUGGAAAGGUGGGUUGAUAGAAAUAUAUAUUUUACAAAAUCUGUGGGUCAGAACUCGUGAAUAUUGUCCUGUGUAAAUUCAACCCCAAUUUAAAUGGUAUUAUAAAAGGGAAAUAACCAAUAAAGGAAUUGAGUAUACACUAUGGCUGAGAACUGUUUUACCAUAAUGUCAUUUGGGGUAACCUGUAUCUGUGUUCUUGAGACUCAGUUCUAGGGCCUGUGGCAUCUACUGGAGAUUAUGGCAGGAAUCAGGAGGCCACUGAGCAUGGUGAAUGAGAGCACAGGCAAGCUCCAUGGCUACCUGAUGUACUUGUCACUGUCAUGUAUGAGACACCUGUGUGACUGUCCAGGGAGAAUGAUCUUAGAAAAGAUCAACAAUGAUCAAGAAGAUAACACAGAUCAGAGUAGAAGGUCCUGCCUCUGCUGACAUGCCCAUACUAAGCUUCCUUUGGAGGCCUUUGAUUUUGUGGAUUAUAGAAAGAAGUAUUUAUUCAGACGGGAGAAUAUAGUCCUGUUGGUACUGAACUUGUGUUGAUGUUAAUCUGAGGUCACUGUUAAAACACUAGACAACCAUUGAGUUUUUUGUAUUGUUUUUAUGAUGGAGUGAGAAACUAAAAGAUGAUUGGACAGAAAAGAACUCCUUGCUCCAUGGUGGGAAUCAUAGGACUUCUGUCUUGACCAGUUAUGGGAAAAUUAAAUGCAGUACAACAACUGAAGCUUAAGAUUUAAGUUGGACUCAGCUCUAGCAGUGGCUUUUAGGGCACAAAUUAGAAUGAGCUGAUUUCAAAAACAAAAACCAUACCUAUGUUAAAGGUACCAAAAGACCAACUGCCUGAUGAGAAGUUGGUGAUUGUGGAGAGUUAGAAAUUUGCAGAUCCACAGCCAAACUUCUCUUAAUCAUUUUAGUAUAGUAGCCAUUUGUCAACCCUGUCUGGAUCUGAAUUCUCAUCUUGUUCCCCACCGGGGCAACUUUGGGAAUGUAUUAUGUCAACAGACCAGUAACUUGCCACCAGAGAAGAUCUAAAUCUUUUUUAACAUAAUAUCUCCCUGCUUUGCUGAAACCCAUUUACCUGGUGCUCUCACUAUUUUGUGAAUGUCUUAAUUUGUGACUUUCUUUUGUUCUGUAACUAUAAAAAAAUUCAUGUAACUGCUUCUGUGAUGAAAUGUCAUUUGGGGUAACCUGUAUCUGUGUUCUUGAGACACAAUAACUCAUAUUUGGCUUACAAUAAACUCUUGUGUUCUCUUAGAGGUGAACUGGAUUGUUGUUGACAUUAGCUAGCAAGUCAACAUCAGAGAUAGAGGAGAAAGAAGAUCCCUGUUAACACAGAAGGCACAACAGGUUCUCAUACUUCAAGGAUUUUGGUAGCUAUCAAAGAGACAGCAGUGUUUCUAUUGGAGCUAUGCUAUGUGGUUUUCUUUAUUGGUCUUUUAUGAUGAAAAUAAAGAUGUCUGUUUA